AUUGUACUUCCUCCGUCCCAUAUUAAGUGUUGAAAUAUUACAUGUAUCUAGAUGCUUAUUAGGUAUAGAUACAUCCAUAUUUGGGCAAAUUUGAGACACUUAAUAUGUGAUGGAGGGAGUAUGUU
rfam:Brachypodium distachyon strain Bd21 chromosome 4, whole genome shotgun sequence.